rnacentral:tRNA from 1 species
GCAGGCGUGGUGGAAUCCGGUAGACACGCAAGCCUGAGGGGCUUGUGGGCAUUAGCCCUUGGAGGUUCAAAUCCUCUCGCCUGCACUA